GAAAAUUUUUUUUGAGGGGGGCUGCCACCUAUUUGGAAAUUGUAACUCAGUUAAAUUGAUAAAGUAAAUGCAAUGUUGGCAUGUGGGUGUCUAACUAAAGAGUUUUAAAAA